rnacentral:rRNA from 1 species
UUUAGGAAUAUUGCACAAUGGGGGAAACCCUGAUGCAGCGACGCCGCGUGGAGGACGAAGGAUCUAGGUCUGUAAACUCCUUUUGCCAGGAAAGACUUAGGACGGUACCUGGCGAAUAAGCCCCGGCUAACUACGUGCCAGCAGCCGCGGUAAGACGUAGGGGGCGAGCGUUGUCCGGAUUUACUGGGCGUAAAGAGCGCGUAGGCGGCUAGCUAAGUGAGAAGUGAAAUCUCCGGGGGCUCAACCCGGAAACUGCUUUUCAUACUGGCCAGCUGGAGGGACGCAGGGGUGACUGGAAUUCCCGGUGUAGCGGUGAAAUGCAUUGAUAUCGGGAGGAACUCCAACAGCGAAGGCAGGUCACUGGGCGUUUUCCUGACGCUGAGGCGCGAAAGCGUGGGGUAGCGAAAACAGGAUUAGAGACCCUUGUAG